GCGGCGCGCAGUGUGUCGUCAUACCGAAACGAGGAAAAUUCGUAACGAAAUCAAGUCAUCGUCAUGCAGUACCGAAUACUAAGUGUAAUAAUAUGAUAGUAUGUAUUACAUGAAUACGUAAGUUGCACUGCUGCGAAGAGAGCUGUUCGGCAUACACAGACUAGAAUUUUGCGGACGACAUGAAUUCACGGUUGCUUGCUAUGGAUAUAGGACACGGGUAUACCUACAACUGAUAUUAUGGAUUCGUGCGAGUCGUAGGAUCAUACUGAAUACCGUGAAAAAGCCAGCGUACAAACACAGACAAUACGUAUCUACUUAACGUCAAGCCUGAUAAUAUUCACUCCGACAACACGAGACCGGUGAACGCAAAAUGAACUGAAAUUCUCGACGUUAUGCUCUGGGGUCAGGGAGAUGAUAAAACAAAUAGUGUGCUGACGUCCUCUUGAACCACGUCUCUGGGCUAUUGUAAAACAUAUUAUAUAAUGUGACAUUUUUGAAAAUUUUACGAGACCGAAAACAGUCACUGAACAAUUUGAACCCCGUGAUCAGCUGGCGAUCGGUA